ACCUGGGUGGCUCAGUUCGUUAAGCAUCUGACUUCGGCUCAGGUCAUGAUUUUGGAGUUCGUGGGUUCAAGCCCCGUCUCCGGCU
rnacentral:tRNA from 1 species